rnacentral:rRNA from 1 species
GAUGAACGCUGGCGGCGUGCUUAACACAUGCAAGUCGAACGGAAAGGCUCCUGCUUGCAGGGGUACUCGAGUGGCGAACGGGUGAGUAACACGUGGGUGAUCUGCCCUGCACUUCGGGAUAAGCCUGGGAAACUGGGUCUAAUACCGGAUAGGACGAUGGUUUGGAUGCCAUUGUGGAAAGUUUUUCGGUGUGGGGUGAGCUCGCGGCCUAUCAGCUUGUUGGUGGGGUAAUGGCCUACCAAGGCGUCGACGGGUAGCCGGCCUGAGAGGGUGUACGGCCACAUUGGGACUGAGAUACGGCCCAGACUCCUACGGGAGGCAGCAGUGUGGAAUAUUGCACAAUGGGCGCAAGCCUGAUGCAGCGACGCCGCGUGGGGGAUGACGGCCUUCGGGUUGUAAACUCCUUUCGCUAGGGACGAAGCGCAAGUGACGGUACCUGGAGAAGAAGCACCGGCUAACUACGUG